CAAAUUUCUGCCCUAUCAACUUUCGAUGGUAGAGUAGUGGUCUACCAUGGUUGCAACGGGUAACGGGGAAUUAGGGUUCUAUUCCGGAGAGGGAGCCUGAGAAACGGCUACCACAUCCAAGGAAGGCAGCAGGCGCGCAAAUUACCCAAUCCCGACACGGGGAGGUAGUGACAAUAAAUACUGAUACAGGGCUCUUUUGGGUCUUGUAAUUGGAAUGAGUACAAUUUAAAUCCCUUAACGAGGAACAAUUGGAGGGCAAGUCUGGUGCCAGCAGCCGCGGUAAUUCCAGCUCCAAAUAGCGUAUAUUAAAGUUGUUGCAGUUAAAAAGCUCGUAGUUGAACCUUGGGCCUGGCUUGGGCCCGGUCCGCCUCACCCCGUGGCACUGGUCCGGGCGGGGCCUUUCCUUCUGGGGGAGCCGCAUGCCCUUCACUG
rnacentral:rRNA from 1 species